GGCACUGUAGCUCAGUUGGGAGAGCAGCCACUCAAUUGGUGGUUGGUCCCGUGUUCGAUCCUCGGUGGUGCCA